AUUGAACGCUGGCGGCAGGCCUAACACAUGCAAGUCGAGCGAGCGGCGGACGGGUGAGCAAUGUAUGGGGCUCUGCCCGAUAGAGGGGGACAACUACCGGACACUGUGGCUAAUACCGCAUACUUUCGGCUGGGCCCAUAUGGGAUUAGCUAGUGGGUGGGGUAAAGGCUGACCUAGGCGACGAUCUGUAGCUGGUCUGAGAGGAUGAUCAGCCACACUGGAACUGAGACACGGCCCAGACUCCUACGGGAGGCAGCAGUGGGGAAUAUUGGACAAUGGGCGCAAGCCUGAUGCAGCCAUGCCGCGUGUGUGAAGAAGGCCUUAGGGUUGUAAAGUACUUUCAGCGGGGAGGCGUUACCCGCAGAAUAAGCACCGGCUAACUCCGUGCCAGCAGCCGCGGUAAUAC
rnacentral:rRNA from 1 species